rnacentral:ncRNA from 1 species
AGUAUGCUUAACACAUGCAAGUCAAAUGUUGAAAAACAUGGCAAACGGGUGCGUAACACGUGAAUAAUCUACCCUUUAGUUCAGCAUAAUUAUUUUAUAAAAAUUCUGAAUAAAAAAUAAAGUUUAAAAAACGCUAUUGGAUGAGUUUGCGGAAGAUUAGGUAGUUGGUAGUUUAAAAGACUUACCAAGCCUACGAUCUUUAGCUGAUUUGAAAGAAUGAUCAGCCACAUUGGGACUGAGACACGGCCCAAACUUUUUUAAAGGCAGCAGUGAGGAAUAUUGGACAAUGGGCGAAAGCUUGAUCCAGCAAUACU